rnacentral:rRNA from 1 species
GUGUGUGAAGAAGGCCUUCGGGUUGUAAAGCACUUUCAGUCAGGAGGAAAGGGUGUGAGUUAAUACCUCAUAUCUGUGACGUUACUGACAGAAGAAGCACCGGCUAACUCCGUGCCAGCAGCCGCGGUAAUACGGAGGGUGCGAGCGUUAAUCGGAAUUACUGGGCGUAAAGCGUACGCAGGCGGUUUGUUAAGCGAGAUGUGAAAGCCCCGGGCUCAACCUGGGAACUGCAUUUCGAACUGGCAAACUAGAGUGUGAUAGAGGGUGGUAGAAUUUCAGGUGUAGCGGUGAAAUGCGUAGAGAUCUGAAGGAAUACCGAUGGCGAAGGCAGCCACCUGGGUCAACACUGACGCUCAUGUACGAAAGCGUGGGGAGCAAACGGGAUUAGAUACCCCGGUAGUCCACGCCGUAAACGAUGUCUACUAGAAGCUCGGAACCUCGGUUCUGUUUUUCAAAGCUAACGCAUUAAGUAGACCGCCUGGGGAGUACGGCCGCAAGGUUAAAACUCAAAUGAAUUGACGGGGGCCCGCACAAGCGGUGGAGCAUGUGGUUUAAUUCGAUGCAACGCGAAGAACCUUACCUACACUUGACAUACAGAGAACUU